UACGGGGGGGGCAAGCGUUGUUCGGAAUUACUGGGCGUAAAGGGCUCGUAGGCGGCCAACUAAGUCAGACGUGAAAUCCCUCAGCUUAACUGGGGAACUGCGUCCGAUACUGGAUGGCUUGGAUUUGGGAGAGGGAUGCGGAAUUCCAGGUGUAGCGGUGAAAUGCGUAGAUAUCUGGAGGAACACCGGUGGCGAAGGCGGCAUCCUGGACCAAUAUUGACGCUGAGGAGCGAAAGCCAGGGGAGCAAACGGG
rnacentral:rRNA from 1 species